ACUCUUUUAACACCAUAGGUUACACGGCCCAUAUACAAGAAUGAUUUAAGUUAAUAGGUUUGGACAUUUUUUUAGUAUUAGCACAAAAACCUUGAGACAUCUAUUCAAAACCUACGACGAAGAGGAGAAAUUGAGUGCCUCAGAACUACGAGAAGAUCGGGAACAUUCAGAGACGCUCAGGAAAGGAAAGACGACUUUGUGAGUUCGUUGGCUCGACUUUGAGAGUACCAGCUGAGAUCGACUUCUACUCUUCGUGGCUAAUAUUCGAGGAUUGUUGAUUCGAGCCCUUCAGGGUGAGCAUGAGGACGUUCGCUGCCCGAAGACUCUUUUUAUCAUUAUGUCUUUAUUUUCAUUCUGAGACAUGAUCUUUGAGGCUACUGUGUAUUAUUUUGAUUCAGACUUGUAGUAUUUAGUUAGAUGCUCUUGUAUGACCAGACCAGAUA